AACGUAGGUUCCGAGCGUUAUCCGGAUUUACUGGGCGUAAAGCGCGUUCAGGCGGUUUGGCAAGUCGGGCAUGAAAUCUCUCGGCUCAACCGGGAGAGGUUGUCCGAUACUGCUGGACUGGAGGCAGUAGAGGGUGGUGGAAUUCCGGGUGUAGUGGUGAAAUGCGUAGAGAUCCGGAGGAACACCAGUGGCGAAAGCGGCCACCUGGACUGUACCUGACGCUGAAACGCGAAAGCUAGGGAGCGAACGGG
rnacentral:rRNA from 1 species